CCUACGGGUGGCUGCAGUGGGGGAUAUUGCACAAUGGGGGGAACCCUGAUGCAGCGACGCCGCGUGGGUGAAGGAGCGUUUCGGCGCGUUAAGCCUCUUCGGCAGGGAAGAAGAUGACGGUACCUGACCAAGAAGCCCCGGCUAACUACGUGCCACCAGCCGUGGCAACAAGCAGGGGGCAAGCGUUAUCCGGAUUUACUGGGUGUUAAGGGGGCGCAGAGGGCAAUGCAAGCCAGGAGUGAAAGCCCGGGGCCCAACCCCGGGACUGCUCUUGGAACUGCAUGGCUGGAGUAGGGGAGGGGCAGGCGGAAUGCCUGGUGUAGCGGUGAAAUGCGUAGAUA
rnacentral:rRNA from 1 species